GCAGUUAAAAAGCUCGUAGUUGAAUUUCUGGUUGUCGACUUAUGGUCCUGCGCCUCGUGCGUUUUGGUACCGUUUUUGUCGACGCCAUCUUAGUCGUGAUUGCUUCUGGCAUUAGGUUGUCGGUUUUAGGAGCGGCUUCGUUUACUGUGAUAACAAAUAGAGUGUUCAAAGCAGACAUUACGUCUUGAAUGCUUCAGCAUGGAAUAAAAAGAUAGGACAGCGGUACUAUUUUAUUGGUAUGUAUACCGUAGUAAUGAUUAAUAGGGAUAGUUGGGGGUAUUCAUAUUUGAUUGUCAGAGGUGAAAUUCUUGGAUUUAUGAAAGAUGAACUUAUGCGAAAGCAUUUAUCAAGGAUGUUUUCAUUAAUCAAGAACGAAAGUUAGGGGAUCGAAGAGGAUUAGAUACCCUCGUAGUCUUAACCAUAAACUAUGCCGACUCGGGAUCGGUGGGGUAUGUUUUACGUCUCCAUCGGCACCGUAUGAGAAAUCAAAGUCUUUGGGUUCCGGGGGGAGUAUGGUCGCAAGGCUGAAACUUAAAGGAAUUGACGGAAGGGCACCACCAGGAGUGGAGCCUGCGGCUUAAUUUGACUCAACACGGGGAAACUUACCAGGUCCGGACAUAGUAAGGAUUGACAGAUUGACAGCUCUUUCUUGAUUCUAUGGGUGGUGGUGCAUG
rnacentral:rRNA from 1 species